rnacentral:rRNA from 1 species
CCUACGGGAGGCAGCAGUGAGGAAUAUUGGUCAAUGGACGAGAGUCUGAACCAGCCAAGUAGCGUGAAGGAUGACUGCCCUAUGGGUUGUAAACUUCUUUUAUAUGGGAAUAAAACGUUCCACGUGUGGGAUUUUGUAUGUACCAUAUGAAUAAGGAUCGGCUAACUCCGUGCCAGCAGCCGCGGUAAUACGGAGGAUCCGAGCGUUAUCCGGAUUUAUUGGGUUUAAAGGGAGCGUAGGUGGAUUGUUAAGUCAGUUGUGAAAGUUUGCGGCUCAACCGUAAAAGUGCAGUUGAAACUGGCAGUCUUGAGUACAGGAGAGGUGGGCGGAAUUCGUGGUGUAGCGGUGAAAUGCUUAGAUAUCACGAAGAACUCCGAUUGCGAAGGCAGUUCACUGGACUGCAACUGACACUGAGGCUCGAAAGUGUGGGUAUCAAACAGGAUUAGAUACCCUAGUAGUC